AACAUAUAGGUGUUAACGUGUUGUUUAAGUGAAUAAAGAUUGCAUUAAAUACAUUUUUUUAUAAACUUUUUAAUAUUGUGUUUAAAUUAGUGUAUUAUAUAAAUCUAUAAAGAUGGUAAAUUCUUGUUCUGCAUACGGAUGUACAAAUAGACAAUCAACAGGAAGUGAUUUCCAUUAAAUAAGCCUGGAGUUUUAAAAAAAUGGAUAAAGGAAGUACGCAGGAAAAAUUUUAAGCCAACAGAUUAUCAAAUACGACCAGGUGCCAGCAAGGGAUGGCUAAAAGAAGAUGCAUUUCCUUCAGUGUUUAAAGGAUUUCCAAAUCACCUUCAAAAACCUCCUCCAUCCAAAAGACGUUUAUUGUCUAGAGUAAUUGAGAAAGAGAAAAAGGCUGAUGAUAUUGAGAACAUGCCAAGUACAAGUACUACACCCGACUUAUCUGAGAUAUCUGAACAGAAUGCAAUGCAAUGUGAUGUGGGUAUUCAGUGUAUUAUUCAGUCACCAACUAAGAUAAAAUUGAGACGAAAAAUUAAGAUCUUGCAGCAACAAGUAAAACGUCGGGAUGUACGAAUC
rnacentral:misc_RNA from 1 species